GUGGGGAAUAUUGGACAAUGGGCGCAAGCCUGAUCCAGCCAUACCGCGUGGGUGAAGAAGGCCUUCGGGUUGUAAAGCCCUUUUGUUGGGAAAGAAAUCCUUCAGGCUAAUACCCUGAGGGGAUGACGGUACCCAAAGAAUAAGCACCGGCUAACUUCGUGCCAGCAGCCGCGGUAAUACGAAGGGUGCAAGCGUUACUCGGAAUUACUGGGCGUAAAGCGUGCGUAGGUGGUUGUUUAAGUCUGCUGUGAAAGCCCUGGGCUCAACCUGGGAAUUGCAGUGGAUACUGGGCGACUAGAGUGUGGUAGAGGGAUGUGGAAUUUCCGGUGUAGCAGUGAAAUGCGUAGAGAUCGGAAGGAACAUCUGUGGCGAAGGCGACAUCCUGGGCCAACACUGACACUGAGGCACGAAAGCGUGGGGAGCAAACAGG
rnacentral:rRNA from 1 species